UACAGAGGUCCCGAGCGUUGUUCGGAUUCACUGGGCGUAAAGGGUGCGUAGGUGGUGAGGUAAGUCGGAUGUGAAAGCUCGGAGCUCAACUCCGAAAUGGCAUUGGAAACUACCUUGCUCGAGGGGUUGGAGGGGGGACUGGAAUGCUUGGUGUAGCAGUGAAAUGCGUAGAUAUCAGGAGGAACACCGAUGGCGAAGGCAGGUCUCUGGGCCACUACUGACGCUGAGAAGCGAAAAGCAUGGGGAGCGAACAGG
rnacentral:rRNA from 1 species